rnacentral:rRNA from 1 species
AUUGAACGCUGGCGGCAGGCCUAACACAUGCAAGUCGGACGGUAGCACAGAGGAGCUUGCUCCUCGGGUGACGAGUGGCGGACGGGUGAGUAAUGUCUGGGAAUCUGCCCGAUGGAGGGGGAUAACUACUGGAAACGGUAGCUAAUACCGCAUAACGUCUUCGGACCAAAGUGGGGGACCUUCGGGCCUCACACCAUCGGAUGUGCCCAGAUGGGAUUAGCUAGUAGGUGGGGUAAUGGCUCACCUAGGCGACGAUCCCUAGCUGGUCUGAGAGGAUGACCAGCCACACUGGAACUGAGACACGGUACAGACUCCUACGGGAGGCAGCAGUGGGGAAUAUUGCACAAUGGGCGCAAGCCUGAUGCAGCCAUGCCGCGUGUAUGAAGAAGGCCUUCGGGUUGUAAAGUACUUUCAGCGGGGAGGAAGGCGAUGGAGUUAAUAGCUUCAUCGAUUGACGUUACCCGCAGAAGAAGCACCGGCUAACUCCGUGCCAGCCGCCGCGGUAA